rnacentral:lncRNA from 1 species
CAAGGAAUUCGGUAGAGCCCCACUUUUGGUUUGAUUCUCAAUUCCAGCGGGGACCACAGGGAUAAGAAGCUUUAGUCAUUGUUGGCUUUAAAAAGGAGACAAACGUGCAGAGAACUCUUAUCGAUCAAUAGUUUUAGUUUAGGCUUUUAGCAUAGUUUUAGUUUUCUUUUCUUAGCUCUUUCGCAUGGUUGUUCUCCAUUAAUGGAGGACUAACCUCUUAAUUCUAGUCAAGGGGACAACUGAAGACUUGAUUCAACAAUUACUGUGAGAUCGAAAUUAUUUUAAUCGCUUCCUCAUUUAUUGGUAUUUAUGUGUUUCCUGUUUUUAAUUAUUAUAGUCCUUAUGUAUGAUUGAUUAGUGCGCAAUAAUUAAUUAUUCAUAUAGGCUAAUUUGCUAAAUAGAGGUAAUUGAAUCCGUAAUUGUUCGUUAUCUCUAUCUUAGUAGCAACUGGCGUAAUUGGGUUUAUGUCAGGGGAGCAUACGAUCUAGCUUAAACAAACCCUCGUAGCGUGUUUGUUAGUUAGGAUUGGGUCUUUCUAAUUAUUAAUGCAAUCUAGAAAUUAAAUCCUACGGUCGUACCUAGGGUUGUUUUUGGGUUAGAGAAAUAGUUAACGGUCGUACCUUAACUAUCGAGAAAUUAAGGAAAGGUUGGUUGUUUAUCGCGUGCAUGGCGACUAUAACUGGUCUAUUAAUAAAUGUGGAAUUAUCUGUGAGUCGAUGAUCAGUGCAUGAAUCAUUUCUGAAGUGUACCCUUGGCUAGAGUUUUCUCUUAAUUAUUUCUCUUAAUCAAUUAUUUCCUGCAGUUAAUUUAUUUAGUUAGUAUUUAAUCCAAAACCCCCCAUACUUUGGACUCUAGAAGAAACGAAUUAUCCCCAGUCCCUGUGGAUUCGACCCUACUAACCGCUAUAUACAAAAUCUGUAUUUUUCUCGAUUAGAUAUUUAUUAUUGUACAGGUUCGGCACCUGUCAAUUUUUGGCGCCGUUGCCGGGGACUGGUGCCAGAUUAAUUUGUUUCUUUUUGAGUUCAUCUUGUUUUUAUUUUUUUUAUUUAUUUUUCUCUUAUUUUUUUUUCUAUAUAGUUUAUGGCUUCUAACACUCCGUAUUUUGGUGAUGUACUAGAUUUUGUUUCCGGGGAAGGCGAUGAGACUAGCUUUUUUGCUAAGUUUGCAUAUUCAGAGGCAGUAAACUCUAUUAGAGAAAGAAUGGCUGCUGCAACCUGUAAAAUUUGUUAUGCCAGGGAUCAUUCAACCAGUAUGUGCCCCGAAUAUCAAGAUAAUCUGAGUGUCUCAUUCAAUAAUUAUGGAGAUUUUUCACCCUGGUCUCAAACGUGGUAUGACUCUUAUUCAAACGGGUAUGAUCAAGGAUGGUGGGAUAAUUCCAAUUAUAAUUGUACAACAGGACCAAUGAAUUUUCAGCAGUAUGAGUCUCAAGAAUCAUCAUCUAUGUCAGGUAUGUCUCUUGAAGAAAUAGUUGAAUCAAUAGCUACUAAUACAUACCAAUUUCAACAGGAGACACAAAUGAGAGAUGGAAUGAUGAGGGAGGCAAUGAGUAAUCUGGCAGAUCAAAUUGAAGAAUUGUCCUCGAAAAUCAUUGUUGAUCUGGAAGAGAAUGAGAGUGAAAUUUGCCUGACUAGUGAUGAGGAGCUGCAAGAUUUUCAAGAAGAGAGAUGUACAGAUGCAGUUGAAAAAGAAGCCGAAAAGGAAGAAAUGGAACCCCAACUGCAACCCAUUCAAGUGAAAGAAUCCAGUGAAGAAUCAUCAAAUGUGGUGACACCACCUCCAUUCCCUAACCCGCAUUUUCUUAACUCUUACUCCAUGAUUUCUGUUAAUGAGAUUGAUUUUGUUAUACCGGAAGUUUUUGAGUCUCAUUGCAGAAAUGAGUUAAGAGUAGCUAUGGUCAAAUAUCUUGAACCAUUGAAUGCUCUUGAUGGAGGAGUGGAUGAGGAAUGGAGAUCACUGCUUGAGUAUUUGACGCCAUUUACUAGUUUACAGAAGAUCGUAGCUCGUGUGUUGAAAGAUUACUCUAUUUACGAGGGCUAUCAGGACUAUAUAGAGGAUGAAACACUGAAACGAGCCUCAAGAUUUUAUCCUCCCUGAACAAACAUGACAAUGUCUAGCCAAAGACAUUAAAGAAAGGCGCUACUUGGGAGGCAACCCAAGACUAUUUAUUUUAGUUUUCAUACAUUUUGGAAAUUUGAGUUAAGUGUUAGUGUCAAUUAAUAGUUUGAUGUUUGGUGACAGGAUCUGCGGACUCUAUAGCAGUUAAGUGUGCCCCACGCCAGGUGGUCACUCCUGAGGGAAAGAAAUUUUCGUUCAGGAUCUGCGGACUCUAUAGCAGUUAAGCGUGCCCGCGCCAGGUGGUCACGCCUGAGGGAAAGAAAUUCUCGUUCAGGAUCUGCGGACUCUAUAGCAGUUGGGCGUGCCCACGCCUAAGACAGGAGUUCCUCGUUUCUCGUGAAAAAAAAAAGCAGAAAAAAUUUUCAAAGGGCACGAAGCCCUACUCUUUUCUUCUUCUUCUUUCUUUUCUUUUUCUUUCUUCUUUCUUCUUCUUUUUUUUUUCUUUUUCUCCUCCUUCUUCUUGUGUUUUCCUCGGCCGCCGUCCGCACGUCCGCCGCCAUUGACGCCCUCCAGCAGCUCCAUCGCCGCCCCUCCUCAGCCGCGCCUCUCCCCAUUUCGAUCUCUCUCUCCUCGCUGCCGUCCACCACCGAACGUCGCAGGUGUGCUCAGCUACACGCGGCCCUUGCUCCUCGCCGUAGCUGCUGUCCGCCGUGCCUCCAAGCCACCAUCGCCACCAGCCCUUCAGCCCUCCACUUGAGCACGCCACCAGCUCCUCGCAGCUUCUACCUCCACCACGGGCAGCUUCACUUCGCGGCCAGGAGCUGCCACGAGCCCGACAGAGCGCCGCCCAUCUCCCCCUUCGCUGACCAGUCCGCCGCCGCCUCUCCCUCACCAGCGGUCAACCUCGCACUUCACCAGGCGCUCCAGCUUCGCCCACAACCAGACCAGCUCGCGCGCCUCCACCACCAGCUCACGCCGCUGCCAGAUCUCCUCUCUCCACCACCACACGCGAGCUCUUCCUGCUUCACUCCUGAACAGUCACGCGACUGCAGCUAGCGCGCCACCCCCCACCAGCUCGCGCCACUCUACCCCAACCUCUUCACUGUUGCUGCUCCGCCACUCGAGCCAUUCCCACCUGUCCAAAUUGACAGGUGGAGGUAUUGUAAUUUCCUCUUCGAUUAGUGUUUUUCUGGUUCAUCAAUUCCUAAGAUUUUGCACAUUUUUUUUUUCGUGGGUUUUGUGGUGGCUGAAGCCAAUAAGUAAUUUGGGUAUUUUCUGGGUUUCAUUGUAAGGGUGCAAUUACGUCUAAUUGCUACCAUAUGUGGGGAUAUUUUCUGAUUUUUGUUAAAUUGUUGGUCGCCUGACCUUCCCUGUGUGUAUACCAGUGGUACUGGUUGGAGUUUUUUGUUUACAUUCAUUGAUUUUAUGUGGUCGCCUGUCUGAUUGCGAGCUAAUAACCUUGUACUUCUAUUGUUGUUCGCAUUUUGACCUGUGGUUGCUGAAAUUGCCAAUUUCUGGGGUCAUUUGCUAUUUUUCAUAGGUUGGAUUUCUUGUUGGAUAUAAGAGAGUGAUAUUUUGGGCAUUUUCUGGGGUUCACUUUGGGCUGAAUUGAGUUUAAUUGCUGCCAUAGUUGGGAUAUUUUCUGCGUUUUAGUGAAUUGUUGGCCGUUUGAUUACUUUUUGCCUGUGACUCACCAGUGGUACUGGUUGAGGCCUUUUGCCUAUCGGUAUUGCUGCUAUUUGAAGAUACUUGCUUAUUUUAAAGUUUAAGCUCUUGUGGUUGAGUUGCUGCCGUUGAAUUUAAUUCUUUCCUGUCUGUGCACCAGUGGUACUGGUUGUAGUGUUGCUUUCCAUUUCUUAAUCCUCUGUGCCGGACUACCUAUUUGAUUCUUGAGUUUUGGUGUCUGAACUGUUUCUAGACUUCUAACCAGUGGUCAAUUGCUAAUUUUAGCAGGUUGAAGUGGGUAAUUGACUGUCCAAUUGGAGACAGUUGUUCCGAUAUUGGGUCCGAUUGUGUCUAAUUGCUGAAAAUUGUUGAUUUACUAGGACACUAGCACAGUUCCUAGUUUGUUCGAGUUGCUGUUCUGUUGCAUUAUUGGGAGUUGUGCUCUAGUAUUGUGGCUACUUUCCUGCAUUUAUUUGUUGAAUUGGGAUAUGCAUGUGCCGUUUGCAUUUCCUUGUUGAAGUUGGUUGCUUCUAAUUCACUUGUUUGGACCACUUUGUUGCGAUUUUGGGGUCCAUUGAUUCUGCAUUUGACUAGUUUGGGACCACAGGUGCUUAUUGAUUGCCAGUGCUAUAAGUGUUGGGGUAUUUGUAUGUCCUCUGGGUGAUUGAAUUGUGCACUUUGCUCAUUGGGUUGGCUUUAAAAUUGUUAUUGCUUUGAAUUUCUGGCAUCCAUUAUUUGUUGGCAAUUGUAGUCUCUUAUUGCUUAGAGUGAUAUCGAGAGUCCAUGGUGAAGCCACGAAUGGCACCAGCUCCAGUUGUGAGUUGAUCCACAAUUUUCACCUGAACCGCCCCUAUUUUGAUGACUUCAGGGAAGUACCGUUGCCCCUCUCCUUCCUUCUGCUCUUACAUUAUCACAUUGAGGGUAAUGUGUGAAUUAGGUGUGGGGGGAUCGUUGUGGGGGGGAUCGUUGAACACCAAAUUUAAUGUUGGAUUGUUGUCUCUAAUUCUGAUAUUGCCAAGUUUUAGUAAUGAAAAGGUAUUAAGUUAAUGUGGUUGAGUUCAGGGGUAUCUCUUUGGUGAAUAUCGGUAAUUGUUUAACUUUUCCAAUUUUUGGUUAACUUUUCUAGGCAUAGGGAAUGAUUGUUAGCAUUUUUCAUGUGAAUUGGUCCAAUUAUUAAUUUUAGUUCUCCAUAUUUGGAAAUUUGAGACUGGCUGCUGUUAUUUCUGUUAUUGUGCUAUAUGGUUGUAAAUAAGAGUUGAUUGUACUCCGCUAGUGGUUACUACUGAGUAACCGGGGAUCUUCACCUAAAGUGUCGAUUCUCGCGUCAAAAGGUAGUUGUUACUAUGAGUGCGUGGUCCCGUAGCAAUUGGAGCUGAGUAACCGGGCUCCUCCAUCUGGCAAAUGUUGGAGUUCGCGUCAAAAGGCUCUAAGGGCUAUAGACUAAGUCUUUUGUUACUCAAAAAAAAAAAACAAGAAACAAAAAAAGAAAAGAAAAAAAAACAAAAUAAAGAAAAAAUAAAAUAAAGAUUGUGUUAGUAUGUGAAUAAGUCAGCUUGCCGGUUUGUGAUCUUAAUGUCGAGAUUUUGGUUAAUAGUUGGACCAUUUGCUGAUAAAUGUGAGCAACCAUUCCUUUUUCUUAGAUUAGUUUGUUUUAAAUUGGAGGAGUUGGUGGUUGAGAAGCUAACCGGAGUAGUUUUUCUUGGAUCUUAACUGUGAUGCUUGAUAUAUAUUUUUCUGGAUAUCUUGGCAAUAUGAUAGUUAGAGCAAUAGCCAUUGUCAAAUUUUGGUGUUCAAUUGCUAUUCUUAUACUUGAGGGCAAGCAUGAUUUAGGUGUGGGGGGAAUUGAUAGGGUGUUAAUUGUUGGUUAUUUUAUUGUUAAUUUUCCCCUUUAUCCUUGCCAAAUAUUGUUUUAAUUAUUAAUAUUUACUUAUAUUUGGUAUUGGACUCAAUUUCAGGAAGUGAAACAGAAAACUACAAAAAUGAGGAACUUUUUGGAGAUAAUUGGGAUUUCAAACAACCGGGCCCACAUGGUGCUACAAAGAGAUUGUAUUUUCUUUGCUGAUUAGGAGAUUGGAGUUCUACGGGCAAUAGGAAACUAAAAGCAAGGAAUUCGGUAGAGCCCCACUUUUGGUUUGAUUCUCAAUUCCAGCGGGGACCACAGGGAUAAGAAGCUUUAGUCAUUGUUGGCUUUAAAAAGGAGACAAACGUGCAGAGAACUCUUAUCGAUCAAUAGUUUUAGUUUAGGCUUUUAGCAUAGUUUUAGUUUUCUUUUCUUAGCUCUUUCGCAUGGUUGUUCUCCAUUAAUGGAGGACUAACCUCUUAAUUCUAGUCAAGGGGACAACUGAAGACUUGGUUCAACAAUUACUGUGAGAUCGAAAUUAUUUUAAUCGCUUCCUCAUUUAUUGGUAUUUA